GAGAGAGUAGUAGUGGCUAUAGGGCUGGCUUGAAACUGGCCUUUGGUGGUUCGAUUCCUUCCUUUCUCG
rnacentral:tRNA from 1 species